GGGGCCAUAGCUCAGCUGGGAGAGCACUAGCUUUGCAAGCUAGGGGUCGCCGGUUCGAUCCCGGCUGGCUCCACCA
rnacentral:tRNA from 2 species